rnacentral:rRNA from 1 species
UUAUUUGAGAGUUUGAUCCUGGCUCAGGAUGAACGCUGGCGGCGUGCCUAACACAUGCAAGUUGAGCGAUUUACUUCGGUAAAGAGCGGCGGACGGGUGAGUAACGCGUGGGUAACCUACCCUGUACACACGGAUAACAUACUGAAAGGUAUGCUAAUACGGGAUAAUAUAUUUGAGAGGCAUCUCUUGAAUAUCAAAGGUGAGCCAGUACAGGAUGGACCCGCGUCUGAUUAGCUAGUUGGUAAGGUAACGGCUUACCAAGGCGACGAUCAGUAGCCGACCUGAGAGGGUGAUCGGCCACAUUGGAACUGAGACACGGUCCAAACUCCUACGGGAGGCAGCAGUGGGGAAUAUUGCACAAU